UACGUAGGGCGCAAGCGUUAUCCGGAAUUAUUGGGCGUAAAGAGCUCGUAGGCGGUUUGUCGCGUCUGCCGUGAAAGUCCGGGGCUUAACUCCGGAUCUGCGGUGGGUACGGGCAGACUAGAGUGCAGUAGGGGAGACUGGAAUUCCUGGUGUAGCGGUGAAAUGCGCAGAUAUCAGGAGGAACACCGAUGGCGAAGGCAGGUCUCUGGGCUGUAACUGACGCUGAGGCACGAAAGCGUGGGGAGCGAACAGG
rnacentral:rRNA from 1 species